rnacentral:ribozyme from 1 species
AACGAAGAAAUAUAAAACAUCAUGGAAACAGUAUAUGUCAUUUACUUGUAUAUACUUUCAAUUCUUUUAUUUCUGGUAUUGCCUUUUUUCGCC